UCCGGCCAGUUUUUAAUGCGAGUGAACGCGUUUGCAUGUCUCAUAAGAGAAACACAAUCGUUUGACCAAAGAGCUCGUGUAUAACUCUAAUUAAAUGGUUCCUUAGCACGUUUCGUUUACAAUCAUUUGUAUUCUCUUCGUCUCAGCUGAUUUUGAAGCAAUUGCAGCGCCUCUGUUGGAACUCAGCGGGAGUCUCCAGACAGCUCGCUGCUAUGGGGGAGGGGUGUCAGACAGGGAGCUGGGAGAAGAAGCCCGGCUGAGUCCCAACGGAUAGUAGAACUGAAGGACGGCCAUAGAAAUGAGUGAUCACAACUGUAGCACAAACCAUCACUACAACAUCGUCCUGUAGUUUGGGAGGGCCACACAAUACCGCAUGUGUUCUCCAAAAUACAGUCAACCAGCCGAAUACUAUUUUUAUUUCCGAAAUCUGUCAGCUCUCAUUGCUGCUAUACUGGGGGACCUGCACGGCUGGUUCAGGCAGAUUGCAUGUGCCCCACUGGUCAAAGGAGACUCAGGACGUAGCUGAGCUGUGUCACUGUGUUGGAGGACUAUCCUUUACACGAACUCCCGAUGCCCAACCCACCAGGCUAAAGCCCUUUCUCCCUGGGUGUCUAAACCAAGCAAACAGCGUUCUUCAGGGCUGCUGGGCAGAGAUGGCACUGGCAUGGUCAGUGUUUGAUUCCACACUAUGUGAGGGUAUGUCCUUUUAUGUAAACAGUCAUCCUACAGAUUUGUUCUAAGAUUCAUAAACAUCU